UGGGGAAUUUUGGACAAUGGGCGAAAGCCUGAUCCAGCAAUGCCGCGUGUGUGAAGAAGGCCUUCGGGUUGUAAAGCACUUUUGUCCGGAAAGAAAUGGCUCUGGUUAAUACCUGGGGUCGAUGACGGUACCGGAAGAAUAAGGACCGGCUAACUACGUGCCAGCAGCCGCGGUAAUACGUAGGGUCCAAGCGUUAAUCGGAAUUACUGGGCGUAAAGCGUGCGCAGGCGGUUGUGCAAGACCGAUGUGAAAUCCCCGAGCUUAACUUGGGAAUUGCAUUGGUGACUGCACGGCUAGAGUGUGUCAGAGGGGGGUAGAAUUCCACGUGUAGCAAUGAAAUGCGUAGAGAUGUGGAUGAAUACCGAUGGCGACCGCU
rnacentral:rRNA from 1 species